UUGUACUCAGGGGUAAAACUUUUUUUUUCUGCUAGAUCGACCGAUGCUCUGGAUUUAUAUUCUGCUGAUACACCAUCACUUCAGGGUCUACCCUGGCAUAUUUGCUACUGACUAGGCAAAGACAUCUGCCUUUGCCCGAAGGAAUGAGACGAGAUGUGCUCGGACCUCUUCCUCCAAUUGGGAGUCGAUGUGGAUGGCCUUGGUUGGGUCACCGUCCUAUAAUUGAAUCAGGACCAACUCUCCAAUGGGCCCAUCCCAUUGCUCCUUCAACUCAUCUCACAUGCC
rnacentral:lncRNA from 1 species